CCCUGCCUUUUGUACACACCGCCCGUCGUUGUUUCCGAUGAUGGUGCAAUACAGGUGAUCGGACAGAUGAACCUCUGGUUUGUCUGAAAGUUCACCGAUAUUUCUUCAAUAGAGGAAGUAAAAGUCGU
rnacentral:rRNA from 1 species